rnacentral:ncRNA from 2 species
UUAGUAGUUUAUAAAAUGGGUUCAAUAGAUUUUUAUCUGUUGAUUAAAAGAGAAGCUGGGUGAAAGUCCCGCACGGUCUCGCCGCUGUAAGAGAAUAGUUUUUUCAAUAUGCCACUGGGAAACUGGGAAGGCUGAAAAAAUGUUGACGCUCGAGUCAGAACACCUGCCUGUUUUAUAUUGCCAAA